CGACGUGGCCUGUGUUUAUAGGAACUGCAAAAGCGAAUUCGUCUAAUUGUGAUCGCAUUGCAGUUUAUCUCUAUGAUCGAAAUUGUCCAUGUUGUAGGUCUUGUUAAGAAGAUAAAUCAUGUUGAAGAUCAUGUUAAUCGCAUUCUGAUUAACGCAUAAUCGGAGAUGAUCUGAGUGAAAUUGUUUUUAUGCAAAUAGAUUUGGCCACACUGUAUCAAACCCAUUUGAUAUCAAAGAGUAAAUUCACUCCGACGAAUGGACGUCCUCGACGGAAAGAGAGAGAGAGGUUGUUCAGCAGAAAGGAGCUUCUGGAUUCUCUUUCCAUUGUAACGGGUAACCAGUAAGGUAGUUUCGAUUUUGUGUAGCUUUCAUUGUUCUUAGCAAUAGUAUCGCACAUGGAAACAAAAACGAAAACGGAACUGCUGAUAUGGUCUCAACAAUUGUGUUUAUAUGAGAUUUCAUGGUCUCUUGAAUUUUACCUUAAUCUGUUGAUCUUUUUACAAUUAAUCUGCGACAACAAGAAAUUUCUUGCUCCAUUUCCUGUUCAAAUUGAGGCAAUUGUCAACUACUUUGUGUGUAAUUAAUGUACUAGCUGUUGCGGAGCACUGGUUUUUGCUAGAUAUUUAUUAGGUUCUUAGAAUGGGAUUGAUUGCUUUCAGUUUGGACUUCAUCCCUUGAAGAUACCCUUUUUGUGUGAACUUCCAGAUUUCCUUCUACCUAAAUAAUUAAUAUGAACAAAAAAAAGUACAAAAGAAAAGAGGGAGAGUAAAGCCUUCACUUUUUGAAGCUCCUUAAAGUUUCAAACCAAGCUCAAACAAGCUACUACUCGGCUCGUUCGAGAUCCGCUUGUGUUUGGCUCAAUUAAAGCUCCUUCGAGAUCGGCUCGUCUCAUAAACAAGCUAAGUUUGAACAUAUUUUUGAAGCUCAUUAAGCUUUCAAACCAAACAUGAUCAACUUCUUGCUUGGCUUGUUCGACUCAUUUAUCCCCCAUGGUCUUGAGUUUGUCGGUUUGUCCAAUUUUUUUUUUCCUGAAAAUAUUUGUAGUAUGUCUGUCAUCUGCUCGGACUUGAGACAAUUUUCCCGUUUCCUCAAUUAGCGAUAAGUAUGUAUUCAUAUGCAUGCGGUAUCAUGUUCUGCUGAUAUAGAACCUUACAUAAUGUAGUAAGUUUAACUUAAUUGAACCAAUUUGCUUGUACACUUCACAGACAACUUUUAUGAGCAGCAGGUGCCACCGGGCAAUAAAUCUCUCUAAAAUGGUGAUCAUUAGCUAUUGUCUAUCCUCUAUUAUAAUAGAGAUUGGCAUACUUGUGAUUUGCGGCAUUUGCCUGGCCUUUCCUAUAUGCAUUUGUCAUGUUAUUUUAGACAAUAGAAUCAAAAGAUGCAGGGUAAAUGAGUCAAACAUUCAAGAGUACUUUGGGAGAGCAGGAUAAGGAUAAUAUAAUCUGGGAGGAGGCUGACUUUUGUUGCAUUGAUAAACUACUGUAAAUAUAAUUUUGCCUAUAGUUGUAUUUUUCCUUUCAUUUUCCCCUUGGAUGAUUUACACUUUUUCCCGUUAGCAAAUUGGUUUCUGUCGAUUUAAAAAUAGAACUUUCCAUGUAUUUUCUCUGACAAAGGCUUGUCGGCAUUUCAUGAAAAUUCUGGUUCCUCUUGUGCCAGCAAUUGUAUGUCAUAUUAGAGUUGAUGUAUCUUUUCUUGAACCAAUCCUAAUGCGACCCUUUUUGAAACAACACCCAUUGCGGUUCUCGGCAAUUUGGUUUCUAAGUUUCAGAAUGGCUUUGUCCCUUCCAGGCUUAUUUUGGAUAAUAUUCUAAUUGCUCACAAAACGUUACUGUUUAUUCGGAAGAAGUCUAAAGGCAGGAAAUCCUUUUUUGGUCUUAAACUUGACAUGAACAAGGCCUAUGAUAGAGUUAGCUGGGAGUUUUUUCUCAAUAUGCUGAGAACAAUGGGCUUCGGUCAGACUUGGGUCAAUUGGGUUAAGCAAUGGGUUUUUCAUAUGGAUUGGAAGAAUUUGCUGUGAACAACAUCUGUAAGGGUAUCGCUGUAAGUCCUUGCUGUCCUCCCAUUUCCCAUCUCCUAUUUGCAGAUGGCUGCUUUUUGUUUAUGGAGUAUAAUAUUGAUCAUCCCUGGUGUUUAAAUUGGGUCCUUGAUUUAUAUUGUCAACAAGCGGGCCAAUACAUUAACUUUUCGAAAUUUGAAUUAUUUAAUUGCGAGUCCAAAUAGGUUGCAUGAUGAAGGUGAUUUAUGUAAAAGGAUCUUUGGAGUUUGUUGUGUGGCAAAUCCUGUCAUUUGCUUCGGGUCCAAUUGAAAUCUCACUAGAAGUAGCGGGAGUUUAUUUUCACGUGUCUUGGAUCGAGUUGGUUGAUUAACUGGAAGGCGCCCCUUUUACCCUUUGCUUUUCGCUUGAUUUGGUUAAACAUGUGCUAUUGGCUAUUCCUACUCUUUGUGUUUCGAGGUUUCAUGCUCUUAUUUAUUUUCUGAAUAAAGUUAAGCAUGUGGCGAUGAAAUUGUUGUGGUUUCGAGAGAAGGAAGCAGGGAUGGUUUGGCGAAAAUAGAGUGUUUGUUGCUUACCAAAGCGCGAGGGAGGGCUUGGUUUGAGAGACUUGGCUUUUUUCAACCAAGCCUUACUUGCUAAGAUUGCGCGGCGUAUUUUAAAGAAUCUGGACUCGUUGCUUUCUUCUGUACUUCUGGGUAAAUAUUGUCAUUGCUCAGAGUUUCUUGCUACCUUGGCUACUUCUUCAUCCUCUUGAGGGUGGAGUAUUAUGUGGGGUAAGAGGUUGCUUCAAAAAGGCUUGAAGUGGAGAGUGGGGAAUGGAAGACAGGUGAGUGCGUUUCGUGAUGAAUGGAUCGCAAAUGCCAUCAAUCUAUAUGGUGGUAAGCCAUGGAGCAUAGUUUUGUGUAUUUCAAGGUGGCGGAUAUGUUUGAUGCUUGGACUCGUUCGUGGAGGAGCACAUUGGUUUCGGUUCUGUUUCCAGAGGAGGUGGAACAGUAGAUUGUCCCUGUAUAUUCUUCGAAGAAAUAUUGAGGAUGAACUUGCAUGGGAGCAUACCAAGGAUGUUGUUUUCACUGUUGAAUCAGCUUACUUGCUGCAGUUUUUUGAGAAGCAUGUGCUUGUUCUAAGAGAGGACCAGCCCAAGUUUGAUCUUUGGGGAAAGGUUUGGGCUUCCACCCAAGCUUCAAUUGUUCAUUUGGAAGGUAAUCCACUGUAUCCUCGCUGUUAACAAUGCUUUGUUUAGAAGGAAAAUGGAGGUCAUGCCAGAAUGUCCAAUGUGUGGGAGUGUGUUGGAGACCAUAGAACGUAUGUUCUUUCUCCAAAAGAUUAUAGAGAGCUUCACCUCUGGGCUUUAAUUUUGAUGCGGGGGAUCCGAUUCCAGUGGUUGGUGGCUUGCAGGUUGGAUUAAGGAAGAACCGAGCAAAGAAGUAAUCUGGGACUCGGUGCUUUUAAUGUGGAUUAUUUGGUGUACGCGUAAAGCCGUAAAGGUGUGCUAUUUAGUGGGGACUGCUGUAAAGUAGAUGAUUCUUUAGCUCGUUUUGCAGUUGCGAAGUUCUCAAGCUCAAGCCGAAGAUGUUGAAUGUGGACAGGUCAGAGUCUGUUUGCAGGUUCGGGGGAGCUGGUACUAUGACUGCUUCGUUUUUGAAGUAAAAUGUAGAAGAGGAAUGGCCGAGUCCUUUUAUUUUUGACAGAUGGGGCAUGGAAGUCCGACUUGAUGAGUGGUGCUGCUGCUUGAGCAAGAAAGCGAGAAGGGGGAACUAAUCUGAUGCAACAAGUUGAAGUUAUUCAAGCAUCUUCAGCGUCUUUGGUGAAAAUCACGGCAGGGUUGCAAGUGCUGGAAUGGGCCAUCAACAAUGGGAUUGAAGCAGUGAGCAUUCACACAGAUUGCCUGGUUUUUGUUCAAGGGCCUAAUAAAGCUAGUUCUUCUCUUCAACAUGCACUUUUUCUUUUCUUUUCUUUUCUUUUUUUUUUUCUGUUAUCUAUGUUCUUAUUUUAAUUUUUUAAAAGUUAUUAAGGUACAAAGACCGGAUGUUAAGCCUGCUCAUGAUUUGCUAGAGCGGCUUUACUAUGCUUGUAAUGUUUAUUCUAAAAGGAUGAUCUUGUUCGUGAAAAAAGAAAAAACUCCCAUUGCAGUUU